GACUUAUUUUCUUGUAGUCUCUUGGAAAAUAAACUCGGAGUCUACAUACUGCGUAGAAGUCAGAACGCACAGUCAGAGCGGGCUCUGUCCGUGUGGACUGGAGAUCGAGUACGACAUUACAUGGUGUUUCAGGAUGAAAAAGGCUACGCCCUUGAUCCUGAUGGCGUGCGAUGCAAAACAAUUGAGAAGCUAAUAAAACACUUUUACGACUUCACUUUACCAAGAUGUGACGUGAAACUUACAGCGCCUUAUAAAUAGAUUUGAAGGGGACUAAAGGCUGACAUACAAAAAAAGGAUCAUGGAGUAACUAAUCAGAGUCAGCCAAAUCUUUCAUCUGUAAAAUUCAUCACGAUAGUUGUUGGUGUUGCUAAUGAAUCUUGUUGGGUGUUAUCAAACGGGUGAUAUUUUGUCUAGGUUGGACUAUAAUUGUAUACAAAAAUUAUUGCAAAUUCAGUAUUAAACGAUUCGAGGCUUUGAACAAUAACCCCGAACUGUGGGAUGUAUUCCUCAAAGCCUUAUUAUGUUGUCGAUUCCUUUACAUUGCAUUUUAAAAUGAAAUAUUUGGGCAAUUUGCAAUUUGUUGAAUCGUCUUUUGUAAUUUUGCUGAUAUUUGAGGCAGAAUACGUCCUCAACUUACUUUACAUUAAGAUAGAGCCUUAUACUCCCAAAGAAGAGAAGGGAUUGAAGAGAAGUAUUUUCCCUUUGGUGAUGCUUGAAAAAAAAUUUCAUGUCUUCACGAAAUGAAAACGCCCAGUUUUCUUUUUAAUGCCAGAUCUUCUUACUAUUGAGGUAUUGAACGUAUAGAAUUUUUACAAUUUAUGAUCGUUUGUUGUUUUGCAUGGACGGUUUAUGCUACUCAUCGCAGGUGUAUGAUUUUAACUUUAUGUUUUGAAGUUAGACAAAUGUAGAAGAAGGAUUAUGAUAUUCAUAGAAUCUCACAAAGGGGAAGAAAGAUCUGCUGACAAUUUUAGAAAAAAGUUUAUAUAAAUGCAAAACAAGGGACUUUGAUGUCGAGAGAUUUUAUACUAGUGUGUGGGCCGGUCCCACUUUUUCUGCAUAGAAAACGCCAUUGGCAAUUUGGAACCAAUAUGCAGUGCAUGGUGUUAGAAAUAAGACUUUAUGGCCAUAUUUUACCAUGUUCUCGUUAACAUCUUGCUCACUAUGUCGAUAGAAUGAAAGUAAUUUUUAUUGUAUUUCUUUUUAAACUAAAAACUGUACAGUAUAUAGCGAUUAAAUGAAUUUUGCAUUGAUGCAUACGGAUGGUUGAUACCAACUGUUGAUUUACCAUGAAACAAUUUUCCUUAAAGUUUAACUGCGCCAACUUUUUGGAUCAUUUACCGGAGCCAAUAAAAUCUCACAUCGCCUAUUUUUGAUCAUUUAUUUUCUGUUCUCAUAACUUGUUCGAUGAUCAUUCUCCCAAAACUGUUUUCAGAAUAUGAAUUCGUAACUAAUAUAUAAUUACUUUUUGUAAACAGAGGAAUGUGUGGUAAGUUAUUGUAU